AUUCUUGGUACUGUUGGAAGGUGCACAGAAACACACUGAAAAAAACAUUCACCUACAAGAAAUUUGAUUCCCAGGAGGAUGAAUGAGCUCUUGAGGUCAAGUGUAGCUCUAGAAUUUUAUGAAUGUAUGGGAUUUUUUAUUUACUGCUCUGUGAAUUGCCUCCUAAACUAAGAAAAUGCUCAAGGUUCUUUUGGAUACAAGAAACCUCUGGGUACAAUGUUCUUAUACCAAGAGUGACCGCUGACUGUAAAGAGAGUUCUUAGAAAGAGAACAUGAAUGAAAGUCAAUUAACAAUGAGUUACAACUCCUUAAAUACAAGAGUUCCUUAUAACCUUACAAAAGAGCAUUUGUAAUUUCAAACUACUAAGAAGGAGAUGAAUCGAACCACCCACCUUCCAGCUAAUGAUGUUUUCUUAUAAACAGAUUUCAGUAAAUGACAGUCUUAAUCUAAAAUGUGGGUCUGUGAUCCCAACUGCUACAA